UGCCAUCUGCCUCAUGUUUGGCAGUUACUAUUGCUUCAAUAUACACUGCCCAGUGGGACUGCGAUCAACACUGGAGUUCCUCCGGAGGUGUUUCUUUUCAAUAAAUCCGGAGAGAGGAACGAAAGUUGAGCACAGCAAAAGGAGGAUGUCUUUGCUGUGAACCCAGGAGUCCUCACACUCAUCGCUGACCUUGCAGACCAUGAGUGGACUUGAGUGGACCAUACUUCGUGAGUCAUGUGAUGUGAGGUGUAAUGUUGUUGUAAUGUUGCAGUAUGUAUGAGUGUACACAGUGUAAGAUGUGAACACUUUUUCCAUCUUCAUGUACAGCCUUGCAAAUGAGGUGAGGUGGUUGUUUAUAUUAGAGACUUUUUUUUAUAUGUGUGUAUAUAUAAAUAGCAGAUAACACUGAUAACACAAACAAAAAGCAGGGUUCUGGUUUUAUGCUGCACCACUGUCACAGCUUAAUGAACCUGUGGUGAUUUUACUGUUACAAGUUAAAAGAUCUGAACAGCAAGAACAGUCAGUAGCAUUUUAGCUUUUACUUGCUAUUUCAGAAAAGAUACAGUGCUGCCCACAUCUGUUAGAAAGUUCUUAUUACUGUGCAUUUAUGUCAAUUUCAUGUAGUUCUGUGUAUUCGGUGUGUACACAGUGUUGUGAUAAGUUUGUACAGCCUCACAAGUGUUCAUUAAAUGAAAAAUUA